rnacentral:rRNA from 1 species
ACUCCUACGGGAGGCAGCAGUAGGGAAUUUUCGCAAUGGAGGAAACUCUGACGGAGCAAUACCGCGUGUGGGAAGAAGAUUUUCGGAUUGUAAACCACUGUUGUAAGGGAAGAACGUUAUUAGUAGGAAAUGGCUAAUAAGUGACGGUACCUUACCAGAAAGGGACGGCUAACUACGUGCCAGCAGCCGCGGUAAUACGUAGGUCCCGAGCG